GGGGGGGCGGUUUGGUGUGUGCACUUUCGGUGGCCCGCGUUCGGGCUGCGGGUCCCAGCACUUCCGCCAUGAGGAAGCAGAUGGACAGUUCAGCCGCAGUCCCCAGGGACUAGACGGGCAGGCCAGCCUUAGUAACCGGAACCCCAGCGGGCUGGAUGGACAGUAGUAAAAAUUAAUUCCUGAUGAAGGGUCUCGGCCUGAAACAUCGACUGCACCUCUUCCUGGAGAUGCUGCCUGGUCUGCUGCGUUCACCAGCUAUUUUUAUGUAUUUCAUUCCACAUUACCAUUGACAUGGUUCUGAUGAACCCCUUUAUUCAAGCAUUGCAGUGUUUGUGAUGAAAGUGCUCUCACAAAGAAUUCGGUCUUCAUGGUGGAGGACAUGUCCAACAUGACAAGGAGAAAUGUUAUGGAUACGAUGGGAGUACAAGUUAAACUCCAUGGCAUCCUUGGACCACUCGAUGUGAUUCUAUGCUCCAUUCCAGGCAGGUGAAUGGAUAUUGUAUGAGUGCGAGAGUCCAUAGG